GACGAACGCUGGCGGCGUGCUUAACACAUGCAAGUCGAACGAUGAAGCGGUGCUUGCACCGUGGAUUAGUGGCGAACGGGUGAGUAAUACGUGAGUGACCUACCUUUGACUCUGGGAUAAGCCUGGGAAACUGGGUCUAAUACCGGAUACGACCAAUCUCUGCAUGGGGUGUUGGUGGAAAGCGUUAUGGAGUGGUUUUAGGUGGGCUCACGGCCUAUCAGCUUGUUGGUGAGGUAAUGGCUUACCAAGGCGACGACGGGUAGCCGGCCUGAGAGGGUGACCGGCCACACUGGGACUGAGACACGGCCCAGACUCCUACGGGAGGCAGCAGUGGGGAAUAUUGCACAAUGGGCGCAAGCCUGAUGCAGCGACGCCGCGUGAGGGAUGACGGCCUUCGGGUUGUAAACCUCUGAUAGCAUCGAAGAAGCGAAAGUGACGGUAGGUGCAGAGAAAGCGCCGGCUAACUACGUG
rnacentral:rRNA from 1 species